AUUCAACGCUGGCGGCAGGCCUAACACAUGCAAGUCGAGCGGAUGAAGGGAGCUUGCUCCUGGAUUCAGCGGCGGACGGGUGAGUAAUGCCUAGGAAUCUGCCUGGUAGUGGGGGAUAACGUCCGGAAACGGGCGCUAAUACCGCAUACGUCCUGAGGGAGAAAGUGGGGGAUCUUCGGACCUCACGCUAUCAGAUGAGCCUAGGUCGGAUUAGCUAGUUGGUGGGGUAAAGGCCUACCAAGGCGACGAUCCGUAACUGGUCUGAGAGGAUGAUCAGUCACACUGGAACUGAGACACGGUCCAGACUCCUACGGGAGGCAGCAGUGGGGAAUAGUGGACAAUGGGCGAAAGCCUGAUCCAGCCAUGCCGCGUGUGUGAAGAAGGUCUUCGGAUUGUAAAGCACUUUAAGUUGGGAGGAAGGGCAGUAAGUUAAUACCUUGCUGUUUUGACGUUACCAACAGAAUAAGCACCGGCUAACUUCGUG
rnacentral:rRNA from 1 species